rnacentral:tRNA from 1 species
AAAAAGAUAAGCUAAAUAAGCUAUCGGGUUCAUACCCCUAAAAUAGAGGUACUAGCCCUUUUCUUUUUA